rnacentral:rRNA from 1 species
AACGGUAAGGCCCCUUCGGGGGUACACGAGUGGCGAACGGGUGAGUAACACGUGGGUAAUCUGCCCUGCACUUCGGGAUAAGCCUGGGAAACUGGGUCUAAUACCGGAUAUGAACUCCUUCCGCAUGGUGGGGGUUGGAAAGUUUUUCGGUGCAGGAUGAGCCCGCGGCCUAUCAGCUUGNUGNNGGGGUAAUGGCCUACCAAGGCGACGACGGGUAGCCGGCCUGAGAGGGUGAUCGGCCACACUGGGACUGAGACACGGCCCAGACUCCUACGGGAGGCAGCAGUGGGGAAUAUUGCACAAUGGGCGAAAGCCUGAUGCAGCGACGCCGCGUGGGGGAUGACGGUCUUCGGAUUGUAAACCCCUUUCAGUAGGGACGAAGCGCAAGUGACGGUACCUGCAGAAGAAGCACCGGCUAACUACGUGCCAGCAGCCGCGGUAAUACGUAGGGUGCGAGCGUUGUCCGGAAUUACUGGGCGUAAAGAGCUCGUAGGCGGUUUGUCACGUCGUCUGUGAAAUCCCUCGGCUUAACCGGGGGCGUGCAGGCGAUACGGGCAGACUUGAGUACUACAGGGGAGACUGGAAUUCCUGGUGUAGCGGUGAAAUGCGCAGAUAUCAGGAGGAACACCGGUGGCGAAGGCGGGUCUCUGGGUAGUAACUGACGCUGAGGAGCGAAAGCAUGGGUAGCGAACAGGAUUAGAUACCCUGGUAGUCCAUGCCGUAAACGGUGGGCGC